rnacentral:rRNA from 1 species
UACGGAGGGUGCGAGCGUUGUCCGGAAUCACUGGGCGUAAAGAGCUCGUAGGCGGUUUGGUAAGUCGGGUGUGAAAUCUCCACGCUCAACGUGGAGGGGCCACUCGAUACUGCCAUGACUCGAGUCCGGUAGAGGAGUGUGGAAUUCCCGGUGUAGCGGUGAAAUGCGCAGAUAUCGGGAGGAACACCCGUAGCGAAGGCGGCUCACUGGUCCGGUACUGACGCUGAUGUGCGAAAGCGUGGGGAGCAAACAGG